CCAUCCCUGGCCACCACGCCGUCCGCGCCGCCGCUACUCCACGGGCAGGCAGAUUCACGAGGUGCUCAGGGCCACCUCGCAACCAGCCCUCUUCAGCUUCUCCGAGCUCCUCACCCUGUCCACCUGCUCCAAGGUACGCCCGCCUUCGGCCUCCUCAUCUGCUGUAUCCCCUGGCGCUCGCCGCAAAAAGGGCCAGACGAGCCGCCGCAGGUGCCCUCUCCCGCCGCGCGACCGCAUGAAUCCCGCUGCCCCCGCCACCAAGUGCAGAUCGACCAAUCUCAUUCCCCCUAUCAGGUUUGGAUAGGUAAACUCGUUGUCUUCCCCUUCCUGCAACUGCGGAUGGAUCAAACUGAUCCAAAAAAUGCAGAUUCAAUGUGUUUUUGUGUUCAUGCAGAAAGUUCUUGAUUUCAGGAGGAGUUUUGCAUGCAUUUGUAACUGUCGAAGGAGUAAGAAGAAAUACAUACAUUCAGUAUUUUUUUCAAAAAAAAAAAAAGUCAUUCAGUUGCAUGUCUAACUCUGUUUCAGUUUAUAUUAUUUGCUAGAUAUGCGGCUUGAGGCCAUUUUAGUUCUCUGGCUACGUUGUCUUAAACAUAGGAUUGUACUUUCUGCUUCCAUGCUUAAUGUUGCCAUGAGGAUCAAUUUCUACUCCCUCCUGAAGUUAACCUAACAUUACUGCCAAUCUGAUGAUGGAUCAACUCACACCUUGUUCCUAUCUAUUUUUCAGGUGCCGCUAGACAGUAGUCGUCCUUCAAUGGCGUGUCCCAGCAGUGCCGGCGGUCUUCGCGGCCGCGGCCGUUCGGCACACCCCGGUCGUCACCGGUGCAGGUGGUGAUGAUGGUGCUUUCUUCUAGCAAAUAGUUUCCAAAUACAUAGGGGAAGCACGGUGAAAGCUUUUAUUUCUAGCAAGCUCCAGCAUCAAUCCGAACACUCCCAUAGGCUGUAUUGGACCUUGAUCUUUGUAUGAGCUGCACUUCAUUACUUUAGAUGCCAAUAAUUUAGUAGAAAACAAAGAUAAGAACCUAAAAUAUUGAGUCCUGGUUUGGAUCUGUCCAAGUACGAAGCGAUCAUCAUAAACACAACUGCUUAAGAGGACUGUCUUAUGUGAUCCUGCAGUAGAAUAGAGGGUAGGCCGCAAUCUAAAUUUAUUUUGACUGAAGAAAUAGUAAUCACACAAAUCAACUUAAGAGGACUGUCUCUUAAUUUUGUUUUUGUCGGUGCUCUUGAACAGGUGCCCAGGGAGAUGGGGAGAUGGCAAGGACAGAGGUGCAUUUGUUGUUCUUGCCUUGGUGGUUUUGGCUUGUGCACUGGGAACCAGAGCUGAUGGCUCUGACCAUAAGUACAAGGAAGGGGAUCAUGUCCUUCUGUACGCGAACAAAGUUGGUCCUUUUCACAAUUCAAGUGAGACAUAUGUGUACUAUGAUCUGCCCUUUUGAGCACCAGGUAUGUGUUGUUUCUUUCUUGUCAACAGCUGGCAUGUAAUAGAACAUCCGAAGGACAAAAAGGAAGCUCUUGGAUGUUCAAGGUUUUGUUCAUGGCCCGGCGAUGGCUAGCUGUAAGUGCUGCACAACAUGAUGAAAAGCGACAACGACGAUGAUGAAGAUCCAAAUGAGGGUGAGAUAGAUGAGGAGAAGGAACAAGCAAUGGCCCUGCUGAACAAGGAGAAGCCUUCCCUUCAUUACCGCUGGACCAUUCGAUCUGGAGUUGUUUCUUUUGCAGCGGCAAGAAGAUCAACAAGUGGAACAUCAGCCAGCUUCUAAUAUAAGCCAUGCUGAAGGGUAUGCUCGUUCUGUGAAUCGCCCUUUCAGGGUGAGGGGGAGUCACCGUGCGCUUGUGGAGGGAGUACAUAUGCACCAACCCCAAAUUCAGCCAUCAUCUUGCGGCUCACGGUAUUGUCUAGACCUAUGUAAAGUGAAGGUGUGGUCUUUUGCAUGCCAAGACUGUUAAAAUGUAUCCACAGGGUUGUUUAGUCGUUUGGAGUCUAUGAACCAUUACCAUUGCUUAGGUUAUGCCGUGAAUUUUAAUAUAACUUGUGUGUGAAGCUUAAUCACUUUGAUGCUCCUUCAAUAAAGUAUGUGGUUUGAA